UAGAUUGAACAUAUCAAAAUUUGCUCAAUGCUAUAAUAGCACGAAUCAAUACACCAGCUAAACGUAAUGUACAGUAAUACCAUGAUACCUAACAUUAAAGGUAACGUGAAAUUGACGCAGAAGACUUCUAAAGUACCAAUUAUUUCAAAACAAAAGAAUUAAUACAAAAUUGUUGAUAGAUGCAGAGAAUUACUUGGGCUUUCCCAAAAUUAUAUAAUUUUUUUUUUGCGUUGACUGUUAAUAGCAUCAAGAGUUCAUGUGUGCUACAUCCGUUGUCGUUUUGCUGGACUGCAACCAUUUUCUUCAGAUUUGCUUCCCUUGCUUUCUUCAUAUUUGAAGGUCCAACCAGUAAAAUCAUCCGAGAACAAAAGAGAAGGUGUUGCUUUAUAAAAUGCCAGCGGGACCUGUUUUACUCUUCGUCUCAGCUCCUCUCCAAAUAUUGUGCUAUAUGAACUAGAGCUAAAAUCCUUAAUGUUGACUUCAGUAGUUUUGUCUCUGAUAGUCAAGUCAUUCUUGAGUGAGUCUACAAACCUUGAAACAGGUGGGCAGUAGUGGUGGCGAAGGGUAUCGAUUUCCCAUAAAGAACUUUCUGUUUGAAGAUCAGUGUUAAUACAUAAGGUUUUGAGAAGUUUUUUCCCCAUUCCUCUCAAUUGUACAUAUAUAUUUGGAAAUGCACAAGUUUCAAGUAUAAUAAAAUAUAAGAACAGGAGGGGAUCGAAUAAUGUUCUAAAAAAAUAACUGAUAUAACAGGUUAUUCUAGAUAUGUGAGAUAUUGAAUCCAGUCCAACACAUAAUUAUGUAGCAACUAGAUGUGCCUCAGGGCGUCCACUUGAAUGUGGUGUGGAAGAUCAAAUGGAUCGCAGUCCUCAAUGUUAAUUAAACUAAUGUCUACCAUGCUGAAUUUAAGAUGUUUUAUCAUGAUGAGACAACAUCAAAAGUGGAAAACUGCUUGUAAUCUGUCUCUGAUUUUGAAGAAUUACUAAGAGAAGAAUAUCAGACUCAAUAUGCAUAUAAGUUUUAUAUUGAAGAAAUUGUCUACCCAGUCCAUUGGCAUUGCCGGCACUAGGUAUUUACCAAGCAAGCCGAUUAAUUGAAAAAAAAGUUUCAUAUGAAUGCAAUCCAACAAAGUCUACAUCUUUGUUUAAAAAUAUAUAUAUAAAUAAAUAAAAGAAGCCUAUGUCAUACUACAUUGGGUUGCUUUAGGGCAGUUUAUUGCAAAUGAGUGGACUUGGUAUGAACAAAGGAAUUUCAAACAAAUUGGAUACAGUACUUACUCAAUGCAUUAGACUUUGCAGGGUUGCUUUCCUCGUUGUUAAAAUGAUCAACACAAAGAUUUUCAGCAGAAGUACCACUCCCUGUUCUGGAAUCAUUUGCAUUGCGAGCAUUCUCCCCUUUUACAUCUGAAUUAUCGGCUGCAUUUUCAUUAUCAUUUUCCCGGUGCACCAAACAGUUGAUUGACGGAUGUCUCCGAAGGAGAUUGUGAAUCAAUGCAAUAAUAACCACUGCUCCAGAAGGAGGAACUGAAAGUGACAGUCUGCUCAAUUUCUUAGUAAAAGCCGCAGCCAAAUAUGCUGGAAGAAGUGUUGACUUUAGGCAAGUGUCAAGAAGCUGAAAAAAUUUUGCCCUAUGUUUCGCCAUAAAUACAGAAGGUAACAAUAGCGCAUAUAGUUUUUCAUAGAAGUUGGGAUACUCUAAGCCAUGCUGAGUCAUGAGGAUGAAGAGGCUGCUAAGGGCCAUUACACUGACAACUCCACCAAUAUCAUAUGAUCUUGUUAAGAAGUCGCAUAACAUGAUCGGAUUAGAGAUAUAAGGAAUGACUGCCUGAUGGAGAGAAAUUAGAACCUCUUUGUAUAUAUCAACUGGAAGUGGUAACCUAAGAAAUGAAAUCCAUGCCUUGGUAAACUUUAAUUUCAUCUUUUUGCUUAUAUUGGCAGCAGAUAAACCAUUAUUAUUAUUCUGUGCCUCAGUCUCGCCUUUUUUGGAUAAGAAUUCUGAGCCACUCCACAUCUCAUAAUCAGAAUUCUCUUUUGCAACUUCUAGUGGGGGAACGUGUGACAUAAUAUAAUGUAUCUUGUGAAUACAGAGAUCCAUGCUGGCCCUAGAAUGACUUUCAUCAUCUCCAUCAGCAGUCUUAGUCUUGUCAUCAGGGUUGUCCUUUGACUCCAAAGUUUUUGCAAGUUUUGCAAGGCUAAUGUGGGUAAAAUAACUGUUCCAAACACAAUGAAACAAGAAAAAAAAAGUAACAAAAGAAGUUAAAUAACCAGAAUCUCAUGCUAUCUAAAAUGGUACCAAAUGUCAAAGAAGCAACUCUAACUAUUAGUUUAGGAAAACCCAAAUAUCAACCCUCAUCCAAACCCAGAAAAGAAAAUCAAUACCAUUGAAAUCCAUAACAAUUUCCGUCAAAAUGACCCACAAUGACCUGAACAUACCGGACAUCAAUGUACUUGAAAUAUUUGGAUAAAAGCAAGUCUAAAACAAGAUCAACUGGUGUCGAAGAGUGAAGCUGCAAGCAAAAGGGAUUAUCAACAGCUGAUCAAAAUACAUAAUCUAAGGCAAGUAAAAAACUUACAAUGGUAUGAAGUAAUCUGUGAUAUAAAGCCGAAUGAAAUCUUCCCCCAUUCCCCACUUUCACGAAUUCCAUAAGCGAAUCUAACACGAAUUGCUUCAUUUCCAAAGCAAAUUUCAAAUUAGUAUCAGCAUAAAAAAAAAAUUAAAAUUUAUUAAAUUUUUUAAAAACAAAAAACUCACUCGUAAAGCUUCAUCGGCUUGCUCUGAGAAAAGAAGAUCGAUAAGCAACCUGACCAAGUCAUCGAACUUAGAGCGAAGCCAAGUCCUAUAAAUAAGCUCAGCGUCAUCUUCCUCCGACGUCUUUUUGGUAUUCUUCAAAGAAUAAGAUGAGAGGGAGGGGAGGAGAGUAGUGAAGAAGGACUGGAGAGAGAGAAGAGACUCGAGAACGUAUUGAGGAGGAAAGUUUGGGGAGACGAAGGUGAGAAGGAGAGGAAGAUUGUUGACGUAAGUCCUUGAAGAGAGGAGCUGCUGGCCUAGGGUUUUCACCUCCUUCAGUGUGUGUUUAGCUUUCGAUUUCUUCUUCUCUGACGCCAUUGUUCUCUGGGUUUGGAGGGAAACGAAUGCCGCUUGUUAGUGAAAUUUUGUUGGGUUUUAGGUUUCUCCAAUGGGGUUUCUGCGCUUGUCGCUUCCGUUUGGCUGCAACAGGAAUUUAAGCUUUCUCUACUGACGAGGAUUUCUCUUACUAGGACUGGAUAUCCGGCUCUGGAGCUUAUAGCGUCUAUGUAAUCAUUUUUUCAGCGUCGCCCGAUUUGAGCUGGGUCUUAAUGGCU
rnacentral:misc_RNA from 1 species